rnacentral:rRNA from 1 species
AUAUCAAUAAGCGGAGGAAAAGAAACCAACAGGGAUUGCCUUAGUAACGGCGAGUGAAGCGGCAAAAGCUCAAAUUUGAAAUCUGGCACCUUCGGUGUCCGAGUUGUAAUUUGAAGAAGGUAACUUUGGAGUUGGCUCUUGUCUAUGUUCCUUGGAACAGGACGUCACAGAGGGUGAGAAUCCCGUGCGAUGAGAUGCCCAAUUCUAUGUAAAGUGCUUUCGAAGAGUCGAGUUGUUUGGGAAUGCAGCUCUAAGUGGGUGGUAAAUUCCAUCUAAAGCUAAAUAUUGGCGAGAGACCGAUAGCGAACAAGUACAGUGAUGGAAAGAUGAAAAGAACUUUGAAAAGAGAGUGAAAAAGUACGUGAAAUUGUUGAAAGGGAAGGGCUUGAGAUCAGACUUGGUAUUUUGCGAUCCUUUCCUUCUUGGUUGGGUUCCUCGCAGCUUACUGGGCCAGCAUCGGUUUGGAUGGUAGGAUAAUGACUAAGGAAUGUGGCUCUACUUCGGUGGAGUGUUAUAGCCUUGGUUGAUACUGCCUGUCUAGACCGAGGACUGCGUCUUUGACUAGGAUGUUGGC